AUUGAACGCUGGCGGCAGGCCUAACAUAUGCAAGUCGAGCGGAUGAACCCAGCUUUCUCCUGGAUUCAGCGGCGGACGGGUGUGUAUUGCCUAUGAAUCUGCCUGGUUUUGCUUUAUAACGUCCUGAAACGGGCGCUAAUACCGCAUACGUCCUGCUGCUGCUAGUGGGUGAUCUUCGGACCUCUCGCUCUCAGAUGAGCCUAGGUCGGAUUAGCUAGUUGGUGGGGUAAAGGCCUACCAAGGCGACGAUCCGUACCUGGUCUGAGAGGAUGAUCAGUCACACGGGAAGUGAGACACGGACAAGACUACUACGGGAGGGAGCAGUGGGGAAUAUUGGACAAUGGGGGAAAGCAUGAUACAGCGAUGCCGAGUGUGAGAAGAAGGUCUUCGGAGUGGAAAGAACGUUAAGGUGGGAGGAAGGGCAGUAAGUUAAUACGUUGCUGGAGUGACGGUAACAACAGAAGAAGCACCGGCUAACUACGUG
rnacentral:rRNA from 1 species